rnacentral:lncRNA from 1 species
UUGGAGGAGAAUUUGUGACGAAUUGAAAGGGGAUUGUAGGCGAAAGAAAUUUGGCAAAGCGUCGAACAUCACAAUCAAAUACAAACCAACUUUUAAGCACAAAAUUCGUACUAUGAUACCAUUUUAAAAUUUAAUGUAUAGGGCUAUGGAAUGACAAGGCACCCUAUAGAGUACCUGCAUGUUCUUCAUAGCCAUCGUAUAUAAAGCUCUCCCCUAUUUGCAUCAAGCCCUUACAUGAUAUAGAAGAAAGUAAUAAGAAGAUGGUUAAGGAGAUAGAAGAAUUAAACCUAGAUUAUAUAAUCAAAUGACUUUUCUACGUUUAUUCUGCUGCGCUUCCCAAACUCUAGAUACAUACAUAGAUGGAGAUGGAGUUCUUACCAUUUAUAUGCCCGGCUAACAAUGGUUUUAACCAAAUUAUUUUCACCGUCUUUCUAUCCUAAUUUCUUACUUCAUUUUAGAUGAUAUAUUCCCCUGUUAUUGCAACAACAAAAAACACUUAUUUUUGUAUUUUAAGAUCAUUUUUUAAGAUCUUAAAAUACAAAAACCCGAUUACCGAAUUUUAUUGAUUAUAAUAUCCAUUCAUCAAUUAGCUUCAAUCCGCUGAAUACCAACGGCCAUAUGGUUCUUUCAAUGUGCAUUUGUAAGCAUAGGCACCCCAUGCUAAGCCUUUUUCAUUACCAACACUAAAGUAUAAUUACAAAAUAUGAAAUCAUGAAUCAAAAAUCACUCUUUUCAAAAAAUACUUGUUGUAAACAAGGACAAAAAGAAUCAAAAGAUAAUAAUAAGCAAACGAAAGAAAUGUAAUGGCGUUUGGAGGCGAAUUUGUGACGAAUUGAAAGGGGAUUGUAGGCGAAUGAAAAUUUGGCAAAGCCCCGAACAUUACAAUCAAAUACAAACCAACUUUCAAGCACGAAAUCCGUAUUAUGAUACCAUUUUAAAAUUUAAUGUAUAGGGCUAAGGAAUGACAAGGCACCCUACAGAGUACCUGCAGGUUUUUCAGAGCCAAAUCGUAUAUAAAGCUCUCCCCUAUUUGCAUCCAGCCCUUGCAUGAUAUAGAAGAAAGUAAUAAUAAUAAGAUGGUUAAGAAGAUAGAAGAACUAAACCUAGAUUAUAUAAUCGGAUAUGGCUUUUCUACAUUUUUUCGGCUGCGCUUCCCAAACCCUAGAUGCAUACAUAGAUGGAGAUGAACUUCUUGCCAUUUAUAGGCCCAGCAAACAAUGGUUUUGACCAAAUUAUUUCCACCGUCUUUCUAUCCUAAGUUCUUACUCCAUUUUAGAUGAUAUAUAUUCCCCUGUUAUUGCAACAACAAAAAAACACUUAUUUUUGUAUUUUAAGAUCAUUUUUUAAGAUCUUAAAAUACAAAAACCCGAUUACCGAAUUUUAUUGAUUAUAAUAUCCAUUCAUCAAUUAGCUUCAAUCCGCUGAAUACCAACGGCCAUAUGGUUCUUUCAAUGUGCAUUUGUAAGCAUAGGCACCCCAUGCUAAGCCUUUUUCAUUACCAACACUAAAGUAUAAUUACAAAAUAUGAAAUCAUGAAUCAAAAAUCACUCUUUUCAAAAAAUACUUGUUGUAAACAAGGACAAAAAGAAUCAAAAGAUAAUAAUAAGCAAACGAAAGAAAUGUAAUGGCGUUUGGAGGCGAAUUUGUGACGAAUUGAAAGGGGAUUGUAGGCGAAAGAAAAUUUGGCAAAGCGCCGAACAUCACAAUCAAAUACAAACCAACUUUCAAGCACGAAAUCCGUACUAUGAUACCAUUUUAAAAUUUAAUGUAUAGGGCUAAGGAAUGACAAGGCACCCUACAGAGUACCUGCAGGUUUUUCAGAGCCAUCGUAUAUAAAGCUCUCCCCUAUUUGCAUCCAGCCCUUACAUGAUAUAGAAGAAAGUAAUAAGAAGAUGGUUAAGAAGAUAGAAGAACUAAACCUAGAUUAUAUAAUCGGAUAUGGCUUUUCUACAUUUUUUCGGCUGUGCUUCCCAAACCCUAGAUACAUACAUAGAUGGAGAUGAACUUCUUGCCAUUUAUAG